GAUGAACGCUAGCGGCAGGCCUAACACAUGCAAGUCGAGGGGCAGCACAUAAAGUGGUUUACUACUUUUGGUGGCGACCGGCGGACGGGUGCGUAACGCGUAUGCAACCUGCCUCCAACAGGGGGAUAACGGAGAGAAAUUUCCACUAAUACCCUAUAAUAUCAGAAUCGGCAUCGGUUUUGGUUGAAAACUCCGGUGGUUGGAGAUGGGCAUGCGUUGUAUUAGAUAGUUGGUGAGGUAACGGCUCACCAAGUCAACGAUACAUAGGGGGACUGGGAGGUUAGCCCCCCACACUGGUACUGAGACACGGACCAGACUCCUACGGGAGGCAGCAGUGAGGAAUAUUGGUCAAUGGGGGCAACCCUGAACCAGCCAUGCCGCGUGCAGGAAGACGGCUCUAUGAGUUGUAAACUGCUUUUACAAGGGGAUAAACCUACCCUCGUGAGGGUAGCUGAAGGUACUAUACGAAUAAGCACCGGCUAACUCCGUGCCAGCAGCCGCCGUAA
rnacentral:rRNA from 1 species